CCUACGGGAGGCAGCAGUGAGGAAUAUUGGUCAAUGGGCGCGAGCCUGAACCAGCCAAGUAGCGUGAAGGAUGACUGCCCUACGGGUUGUAAACUUCUUUUAUAAAGGAAUACAGUGAGGCACGUGUGCCUUUUUGUAUGUACUUUAUGAAUAAGGAUCGGCUAACUCCGUGCCAGCAGCCGCGGUAAUACGGGGGAUCCGAGCGUUAUCAGGCUUUAUUGGGUUUAAAGUGAGCGUAGGCGGAUUUUUAAGUCAGUGGUAAAAUAGGGGGGCUAAACCCAAGCCAGCCGUUGAAACUGGGGAUCUAGAGUGCGCUAGAGGUAGGCGGAAUGCGUGGUGUAGCGGUGAAAUGCAUAGAUAGCACGCAGAACCCCGAGUGCGAAGGCAGCUGACUGG
rnacentral:rRNA from 1 species